UGGUUACUGCGAUGGAGGGACGGAGAAGGCUAGGCCAGCUUGGCGUUGGUUGUCCAAGUUUAAGGUGGUAGGUUGAAAUCUUAGGUAAAUCCGGGGUUCCAAGGCCGAGAGCUGAUGACGAGUCGUCUUUUAGAUGACGAAGUGGUUGAUGCCAUGCUUCCAAGAAAAGCUUCUAAGCUUCAGGUAACCAGGAACCGUACCCCAAACCGACACAGGUGGUCGGGUAGAGAAUACCAAGGCGCUUGAGAGAACUCGGGUGAAGGAACUAGGCAAAAUGGCACCGUAACUUCGGGAGAAGGUGCGCCGGCUAGGGUGAAGGAUUUACUCCGUAAGCUCUGGCUGGUCGAAGAUACCAGGCCGCUGCGACUGUUUAUUAAAAACACAGCACUCUGCAAACACGAAAGUGGACGUAUAGGGUGUGACGCCUCCCCGGUGCCGGAAGGUUAAUUGAUGGGGUUAGCGCAAGCGAAGCUCUUGAUCGAAGCCCCGGUAAACGGCGGCCGUAACUAUAACGGUCCUAAGGUAGCGAAAUUCCUUGUCGGGUAAGUUCCGACCUGCACGAAUGGCGUAACGAUGGCGGCGCUGUCUCCACCCGAGACUCAGUGAAAUUGAAAUCGCUGUGAAGAUGCAGUGUAUCCGCGGCUAGACGGGAAGACCCCGUGAACCUUUACUGUAGCUUUGCACUGGACUUUGAGCCUGCUUGUGUAGGAUAGGUGGGAGGCUUUGAAGCGUGGACGCCAGUUCGCGUGGAGCCAUCCUUGAAAUACCACCCUGGCAUGCUUGAGGUUCUAACUCUGGUCCGUAAUCCGGAUCGAGGACAGUGUAUGGUGGGCAGUUUGACUGGGGCGGUCUCCUCCUAAAGAGUAACGGAGGAGUACGAAGGUGCGCUCAGACCGGGCGGAAAUCGGUCGCAGAGUAUAAAGGCAAAAGCGCGCUUGACUGCGAGACAGACACGUCGAGCAGGUACGAAAGUAGGUCUUAGUGAUCCGGUGGUUCUGUAUGGAAGGGCCAUCGCUCAACGGAUAAAAGGUACUCCGGGGAUAACAGGCUGAUACCGCCCUAGAGUUCAUAUCGACGGCGGUGUUCGGCACCUCGAUGUCGGCUCAUCACAUCCUGGGGCUGAAGCCGGUCCCAAGGGUAUGGCUGUUCGCCAUUUAAAGUGGUACGCGAGCUGGGUUUAGAACGUCGUGAGACAGUUCGGUCCCUAUCUGCCGUGGACGUUUGAGAUUUGAGAGGGGCUGCUCCUAGUACGAGAGGACCGGAGUGGACGAACCUCUGGUGUUCCGGUUGUCACGCCAGUGGCAUUGCCGGGUAGCUAUGUUCGGAAAAGAUAACCGCUGAAAGCAUCUAAGCGGGAAACUUGCCUCAAGAUGAGAUCUCACUGGGAACUUGAUUCCCCUGAAGGGCCGUCGAAGACUACGACGUUGAUAGGCUGGGUGUGUAAGCGUUG
rnacentral:rRNA from 1 species